UACGUAGGGUGCAAGCGUUAAUCGGAAUUACUGGGCGUAAAGCGUGCGCAGGCGGUUUUGUAAGUCUGGCGUGAAAUCCCCGGGCUUAACCUGGGAAUGGCGAUGGAGACUGCAAGGCUAGAGUUUGGCAGAGGGGGGUAGAAUUCCACGUGUAGCAGUGAAAUGCGUAGAGAUGUGGAGGAACACCGAUGGCGAAGGCAGCCCCCUGGGUCAAAACUGACGCUCAUGCACGAAAGCGUGGGGAGCAAACAGG
rnacentral:rRNA from 1 species